rnacentral:lncRNA from 1 species
AGGCUUUUCAGUCACAGCACCCCCUGUGACAAACGUGUGGAGCACCGCAUGACUUCUUCAACCAGCUGGUUUUUCUGGCAUUUGAAUAAAAGUAAAAAUAGAAAACAAAGAGGGAGAAGAAAAGUGACAAGCUGAAACCUGCGAAGAGAAAGAGGACAAGAAGUGAACAAGUUGAUCUGGUCUUCAGGGAGGAGGAGGCACAGGAACACAGUAAAGGAACCUAUCUGAGGAGCUGCAGACAUGAACCAACAAAGCCAGAAGAGCCUGAAGUAAUACUGCAAGUGGGUGCUUUGGUACUGCUUUGAAGCAUCUUUCCAGACUCUGAAGUAGCCAAGGCCUGUGACUCCAGUCCCUGAGAAAGUACCAUUAGGAGCAAUACUUAAACUUUUCAGGGACAAAGAACCUUGUCCUCUUAACCUGGAUUCACAAUUCACAAUUAUACCCCUAGCCUGCCCAAGGCCUUUUUCUCAGUCUCUGAGAAGUAUUGACUCUCUUUUACCUAAGAGCAGGAGUCU